GACGAACGCUGGCGGCGUGCUUAACACAUGCAAGUCGAACGGAAAGAUCCUGCUUUUGUGGGGUGCUCGAGUGGCGAACGGGUGAGUAACACGCGAGUGACCUCCACCUGACUUUCGGAUAACUCCCGGAAACUGCGGCUCAUACCCGAUAGGACCUCCUGCUGCACGGUGUUGGUUGGUAAGAUUCGGGGGUGCGGGCUCGACUCGCGGCGUAUCAGCUUGAUGGUGGGGUAGUGACUUACCAAGGCUUUGACGGGUAGCCGGCCUGAGGGGGUGACCGGCGAUAUUGGGACCGAGGUACGGCCGAGGUUGCUACGGGAGGCAGAAGUGCGAAAGAUUGAACAAUGGGCGGAGGGUGAAUGCAGCAACGCCGCGUGUGGGAUGACGGCCUUCGUGUUGUAGAACGCUUGCGUCAGUGACGAUGCGUGAGUGGCGGGUAUGGGUAAAGAAGAACCGGCUAAAUACGUG
rnacentral:rRNA from 1 species